CCUACGGGAGGCAGCAGUGGGGGAUAUUGCACAAUGGGGGAAACCCUGAUGCAGCGACGCCGCGUGGGUGAAGAAGCGCCUCGGCGCGUAAAGCCCUGUCAGCCGGGAAGAAAAUGACGGUACCUGAAGAAGAAGCCCCGGCUAACUACGUGCCAGCAGCCGCGGUAAUACGUAGGGGGCAAGCGUUAUCCGGCUUUACUGGGGGUAAAGGGGGCGCAGACGGCGAUGCAAGCCAGGAGGGAAAGCCCGGGGCCCAACCCCGGGACUGCUCUUGGAACUGCGUGGCUAGAGUGCAGGAGGGGCAGGCGGAAUGCCUGGUGUAGCGGUGAAAUGCGUAGAUAUCAGGAGGAACACCGGUGGCGAAGGCGGCCUGCUGGACUGCAACUGACGUUGAGGCCCGAAAGCGUGGGGAGCAAACAGGAUUAGAUACCCCGGUAGUC
rnacentral:rRNA from 1 species